rnacentral:rRNA from 1 species
AUUGAACGCUGGCGGCAGGCCUAACACAUGCAAGUCGAACGGUAGCACAGAGAGCUUGCUCUCGGGUGACGAGUGGCGGACGGGUGAGUAAUGUCUGGGAAACUGCCCGAUGGAGGGGGAUAACUACUGGAAACGGUAGCUAAUACCGCAUAACGUCGCAAGACCAAAGUGGGGGAUCUUCGGGCCUCACACCAUCGGAUGUGCCCAGAUGGGAUUAGCUAGUAGGUGGGGUAAUGGCUCACCUAGGCGACGAUCCCUAGCUGGUCUGAGAGGAUGACCAGCCACACUGGAACUGAGACACGGUCCAGACUCCUACGGGAGGCAGCAGUGGGGAAUAUUGCACAAUGGGCGCAAGCCUGAUGCAGCCAUGCCGCGUGUAUGAAGAAGGCCUUCGGGUUGUAAAGUACUUUCAGCGGGGAGGAAGGCGGUGAAGUUAAUAGCUUCACCGAUUGACGUUACCCGCAGAAGAAGCACCGGCUAACUCCGUGCCAGCAGCCGCCGCGG